rnacentral:rRNA from 1 species
UACGUAGGGGGCAAGCGUUAAUCGGAAUUACUGGGCGUAAAGCGUGCGCAGGCGGUUGUGUAAGACAGAUGUGAAAUCCCCGGGCUCAACCUGGGAACUGCAUUUGUGACUGCACAGCUGGAGUGCGGCAGAGGGGGAUGGAAUUCCGCGUGUAGCAGGUGAAAUGCGUAGAUAUGCGGAGGAACACCGAUGGCGAAGGCAAUCCCCUGGGCCUGCACUGGACGCUCAUGCACGAAAGCGUGGGGAGCAAACAGG